AGCAAGGACACAUUAAGAGGCAUAAUAAUCUAGCUUUGUUCCUAGGCCCUGAGAAGUCCCAUUGAAUGUGAGGUCAUCAGCUUUGCAGCCUCAUGUAGUUUUGUUGUUGUUGUUUGUUUUAUUUUAUUUUAUUUUUUUGAGACAGGGUCUCACCAUGUAGCCCAGUCUGGUCUCAAACUCGAGGGAGUCCUCCUGCCUCAGCCUGUCAUGUGCUGGGAUUGCAGGCGCAUACCACCAUACCCAGCUUCUGGUGUGCAAUCUAUCCCUGCUUAGGGCAUCAAGUGGUUUGAUGAGCUGUGUUUGGCCUACACUUUAAAUAUGACACUUGUCCCUGUAACUUACAUUGAGUUGCCUAGUUCCACCUUAUAGGGCUUCAGGAAAGCAGUUCUUGUUCUUAGUUGGAGAGUUCUUGACCACAUCUUGGAAGAAAUUAGAAUUCAGGACCCAGUCCGAUCUACAGGUGUGGGACUCUGAGCCUGCAGGCACUCCCAGCAUCCUCCCCAGUGCGUGCCCUGGCAGAGGGAGGCCCCAGACAUCUCGCUGAGCACCCAAGCCAGAUCUGGAGUCAUUGUGUCUUGAGGAAAAAUGGGCAGGACUACGAUAAUUUCAGCCAGAGUCCUGAGGAGCACAUUUAAGCAGAGACCCCACCAGAGGAGGUGGUCACCAGAAAGGUGCUGGUGAGGUAGGAAUUCAGAAGCAUGUCCAGGGUGUGGGGCACAGAAACAUUAAACAGGUUGAAGCACAAGCUCUGGGAGGAUUUGACUGACAGGAAGGAGGAAGUACAGGCAACCCCUGGACUAGGGGAUGCCCAUAGGCACCUGGAUCCACGUUGAGAGUUAGAUUCCAAGUGCCCCUCUUUCCUUUUCUGAUACAAAGGGAAGACAAGGAAUCAAUAGUUAUGGUAUACUAAGCUGAGGGACUUAAUAGUUGCUUUUUCAGCUUAUCAAAAGCUGCAUUGGGGCCGAGGAUUUAGCUCAGUGGUUUCACUGCCUACUGUGCAACCGCAAGGACCCGAGUUCAAUCCCAG
ensembl:lncRNA